rnacentral:misc_RNA from 1 species
GGCCAACUGUUAAAAGAUAUAUUACUAGCCUAAAUGAUGUGGAGGGUGAACCAGUGCAUCCUCAUACCUCAUCUGGAAAUGAUGAUAAUGUGGACCAUAUGCAUUUAGAAGAUAUUCGGAUCCGCCUGCUAAAUGGUGUUCAAGCAGCAUACUGGGAAAUGCUCAAUGAGGGCAGGAUCCCACAAACUAUAGCGAAUCUUCUAAUGCAAUCUGUGGAGGAAGCAAAUGACGUAGUAUCGCAUGAGCCCUUAUGUGAUUGGAAGGGUUUAAAAUCUUAUGUUAAUAUCCCAAAUUAUUACAAGUUUCUUCAAACAAGUUUUGUCCACCGGAAGCUUGUUACAUAUUUCACUGUUGAGAGGUUAGAGUCUGCAUGCUAUAUCUGUGCUGGAUUUCUCCGGGCGCAUAGAACUGCCCGACAGCAACUAAAUGAAUUUAUCGGUGAGAGUGAAAUUGCUUCCCUUGUUAUCAAGGAAAGCGAGGAAGAAGGAGAGGAUGCACGGAAGUUUCUGGAAGAAGUCCGUGUCUCAUUUCCUCAGGUUCUCCGAGUUGUGAAAACCAGACAAGUUACUUAUGCGGUGUUGAAUCACUUGAUUGAUUAUGUCCAUAAUCUUGAGAAGAUUGGUAUAUUGGAGGAAAAAGAGAUGGCACAUCUUCACGAUGCUGUCCAGACUGAUUUGAAAAGGCUUGUAAGAAAUCCACCUCUGGUUAAAUUUCCGAAAAUUCGUGAUUUGAUUAGUGUCAAUCCUUUGUUGGGAGCUCUACCCCCUACGGUGCGUGAGACACUAAUUGGUUCAACCAAGGAGAUAAUGAAGUUACGUGGUGCAACCCUCUAUGAAGAGGGAUCAAAGGCAACUAGAGUUUGGCUUAUUUCAAAUGGUGUAGUGAAGUGGUCAAGUAAGAGCACAAGUAAUAUUCAUCUACUGCAUCCAACUUUUUCACAUGGGAGUACUCUAGGUUUAUAUGAAGUGCUGGUGGGAAAGCCUUACAUCUGUGACAUUAUAACGGAUUCCGUGGCUCUCUGCUUUUCUGUUGAUAAUGAGAGGAUACUUACUGCUCUCAGAUCUGAUCCAGCUGUAGAAGAUUUCUUUUGGCAGGAAAGUGCACUUGUGCUUGCCAAAGUCUUGCUUCCUCAAAUGUUUGAAACGACAAAAAUGCAAGAUAUGAGAACUCUGGUUGCAGAAAGGUCAACUAUGAGCAUAUACAUAAGAGGGGAAAGUUUUGAAUUGCCUCACCAUUCCAUUGGUUUUCUGUUGGAGGGAUUUGUUAAAUCUCAUGGUUCACAUGAAGGGCUUCUUUCAGCUCCUGCACCGUUACUGCCUUUGGCAUUGGAACAACAAAGCUUCCACAACACAGAAGCAUCAGGUGUCCAUGCUGCUAGUUUUUCUCAUCAACCUUCUCAGUAUCAAGUUGAGACAAGGGCAAGGGUGAUUAUGUUUGAUAUUGCGGGAUUUCUAUCAGGCAGGGGUCUCCAGAGAAGAUCAUCUUCGCUAUUAUCUCACUCAAUUGAUCAUCCCUCAAGGUCUUUUAGUAGAGAGCUUGGUGGUUUAAUGAGCUGGCCAGAAAAUACUUAUAAGGCUAUGCAACAUAGACAGGAUGUGGAACGAACUGGUCAACAGGAAACCAAUAUGUCUACCCGCGCAAUGCAGCUAAACAUCUUCGGAAGCAUGAUAAGCGACACAAGAAGUCGUUCGAGAAGUUUUCCUGGAAUUAGUGCAGCCAAAACCUCUCACAGUCAGUCAUAUCCAGAGGUUCGAUCAGAUGGUGUACAAACACUUGUUUCUGUUAGAUCUGAAGGAUCUACCACAUUGCGAAAGAAGGCUCAAGUGCAAGGAGAGAAUAAAGAUAUGAGUAUACAACUUCCAAGCGCACCAAUUGAAGAAAGUGACACAAGAGAGUACUCGAGUGAUGAUUCUGGUGGCGAGGAUGAGCACCUCAUCAGAAUUGAUUCGGGAAGACCAAGCUUUCCUCAAUGGAUCGCAGAGGAAGAUAAAACAUCAUAGGCAGACUGAGCCUUUCCACACUGUGAUUAUGUGAAUACUACUAUGAACAUUGAUUUAUGUAUCGUUUUAUGUUUGAAUAAAGUAGCAUAUAUUGUUCUAAAACAAGUUCAUUUGAAUAAUGUAUUGCGAAAAAGAAGCGCUGCUUUGUAUUGAGGAAGUUAUGAACUCACUUAUAUAUGAUGGUCUCAAAUUUUUAUUUCCAGAGAAGCUCUUCUACAUAGAUGUCCAAAAUGUAUAAUGUAC